rnacentral:lncRNA from 1 species
CCAAAGUUAUGACAGCAACUUCCUUGUAUCUUCAACUAGCAAAGUAGAAGCCAGGAGAGUUUCACAUUUCUUGCAAGAAAUUUGGUCUCCACAAAUUCAAAAAAAAUUACAUUUAAGUGUUUCUUCCAAUUUAUAGGUGUGGUGACUUGUAUUCCAGCUAAGAAAAUGUCAACUGAAACUCCAAAUUCUCCUGUCUAGCCAGAAUGUACUGGAAUAUUUUGCCCAGAAAAAAGUAGUUUUAUACCUGAUUGUAAGAAAGUUCACUGGCAUACAGAUCAGUUUUUCAUAUCAUAAUUAUAGGAAUGAAUUCUAAGCUCUUUAUAUGUUGUUUUGGAAAGGAGAAAUAUCUCAAUUCUGCCAUUUUUGUUUCUGAAAGAAACACAAAGAAGGCUGAGAGUGGCAGUGCAUGGCCAUAAUCACAGCACCCUGGGAGGCUGGGGCAGGAAGAACUCAAGUUCCAAAGUUCCAACCAAGUUUGGACAAUUUAAUGACUUGGUAAGACUUUCGCUCAAAACAGAAUGCAUAAACUGUCCCCAGGAAAUUUGAAAUGAUGCAGGGGCUGGAUGGAAUUUUUUUUCCUACUCCACAGCUGUCUUCAGUAGACCUACUGCUUGAAUAAAUCAGAUGUCUAAUCAAUAAACUAUUUUCAUACUCAGAAUUUCAUAUUUUUUGUACUUCAGCAUAGUUUGGUUUUAUUCUUUACUAUAAGAAAGCUUAUUAGCAAUGUAAUUUAAGAUUUUGUUUUGCUUGAGGGUUGUGAUUUAAUUCAUGGGUACUUUUAGAACCUGAUAGGUAAUCCCUUUGCCUUUAUUUUUCUAAUUAAACUAUUCCUAAAUACUUUGAAAAUAGAAAAUAUUCCUGAAAGUAAGUGGGGGUGGGGGUGGGUGACGUAGUUCAAAGUGAAGGCAGUGGGUUUAAUCUCCAGUACCACUAUAAAGAGAGGAGGGCGGAGGGGAGGGG